rnacentral:rRNA from 1 species
CCUACGGGUGGCAGCAGUGAGGAAUAUUGGUCAAUGGACGAGAGUCUGAACCAGCCAAGUAGCGUGAAGGAUGACUGCCCUAUGGGUUGUAAACUUCUUUUAUAUGGGAAUAAAACGUUCCACGUGUGGGAUUUUGUAUGUACCAUAUGAAUAAGGAUCGGCUAACUCCGUGCCAGCAGCCGCGGUAAUACGGAGGAUCCGAGCGUUAUCCGGAUUUAUUGGGUUUAAAGGGAGCGUAGGUGGAUUGUUAAGUCAGUUGUGAAAGUUUGCGGCUCAACCGUAAAAUUGCAGUUGAAACUGGCAGUCUUGAGUACAGUAGAGGUAGGCGGAAUUCGUGGAGUAGCGGUGAAAUGCUUAGAUAUCACGAAGAACUCCGAUUGCGAAGGCAGUUCACUGGACUGCAACUGACACUGAGGCUCGAGAGUGUGGGUAUCAAACAGGAUUAGAUACCCGUGUAGUC